rnacentral:lncRNA from 1 species
GGUGACAUUUUAAUUAAAGGAUAUUAGAUUUUCAACUGAUAUAUUCAUUUGCCUUUGCCCCUUAACAGCUGUGUCUUGUUCUUUCUUCCCAGGAGAUCUAGAGGAUGCGGAACCAGAUGAUCACUCCUUCUGGUGCCACAGCCAGCUGGAAGUGGAUGGAAAUCAGCACUCACUGACGUGUGCUUUUAAUGACCCAGACAUCAAAACCACUAAUCUGGAAUUUCAAAUAUGAGCACACUUUCUAUGGAGAACAAAAGCAUAAAUACCCAAGAUCUGGAGACAUACCCUAGUCAGUACAUUUCCUGCUAUGCAAGCUGGUGAAUCUGAGAUGAGAUGCCUAGAAUCUAUGUAAAAGCUGAGUGUGCUAUCUGCAAUUCCACCCCUGAGCUAUGCUGCAGAUGAGGGUUAUGAAGAGAGAUGGAUGUGUGAGCUUUACUGGCUACUCAAGCUAGUCCAGUCAAUGAGCUCCAGGUUCACUGAGACCCUGUUUUAGAGAGUAGCAUGAAGAAUGAUAGAGGAAGACCCAAGAUAUUGGCCACUAUUCUCCAAAGGUGUGUUCACACAUCAACACCCACAA